rnacentral:rRNA from 1 species
AGAGUUUGAUCCUGGCUCAGGAUGAACGCUAGCGACAGGCUUAACACAUGCAAGUCGAGGGGCAGCGGGGGCGUAGCAAUAUGCCUGCCGGCGACCGGCGCACGGGUGAGUAACACGUAUGUAACCUGCCCUAUGCAGGGGGAUAACCCGGAGAAAUCCGGCCUAAUACCGCGUAACACCUUAGGGGAGCAUUCUCUUGAGGUUAAAGGAGAGAUCCGGCAUAGGAUGGACAUGCGUCGCAUUAGGUAGACGGCGGGGUAACGGCCCACCGUGCCGACGAUGCGUAGGGGUUCUGAGAGGAAGGCCCCCCACACUGGUACUGAGACACGGACCAGACUCCUACGGGAGGCAGCAGUGAGGAAUAUUGGUCAAUGGCCGAGAGGCUGAACCAGCCAAGUCGCGUGAGGGAAGAAUGUCCUAAGGAUUGUAAACCUCUUUUGUCGGGGAGCAAAAAGGCUCUGCGGAGUCGUAUUGAGAGUACCCGAAGAAAAAGCAUCGGCUAACUCCGUGCCAGCAGCCGCGGUAAUACGGAGGAUGCGAGCGUUAUCCGGAUUUAUUGGGUUUAAAGGGUGCGCAGGCGGCGUGUCAAGCAAGCGGUAAAAUAGCGGGGCUCAACCCCGUCGAGCCGUUUGAACUGGCGCGCUUGAGUUCAGGCGAGGUAGGCGGAAUUCGUGGUGUAGCGGUGAAAUGCAUAGAUAUCACGAAGAACUCCGAUUGCGAAGGCAGCUUACCAGUCUGCGACUGACGCUCAGGCACGAAAGUGUAGGUAUCGAACAGGAUUAGAUACCCUGGUAGUCCACACAGUAAACGAUGAGCGCUAGGUGUCCGGGUCGCAUGAGACUUGGGUGCCCGAGCGAAAGCGUUAAGCGCUCCACCUGGGGAGUACGCCGGCAACGGUGAAACUCAAAGGAAUUGACGGGGGCCCGCACAAGCGGAGGAACAUGUGGUUUAAUUCGAUGAUACGCGAGGAACCUUACCCGGGCUCAAACGACUCAGGAAUAUAUUGGAAACGAUGUAGCCAGCAAUGGUCUGAGUCGAGGUGCUGCAUGGUUGUCGUUAGCUCGUGCCGUGAGGUGUCGGCUUAAGUGCCAUAACGAGCGCAACCCCUACCGCCAGUUGCCAACGGGUAAAGCCGGGAACUCUGGCGGGACUGCCGGCGCAAGCUGCGAGGAAGGCGGGGAUGACGUCAAAUCAGCACGGCCCUUACGUCCGGGGCGACACACGUGUUACAAUGGCAGGUACAGCGGGAAGCCACCUGGUGACAGGGAGCGGAACCCGAAAGCCUGUCUCAGUUCGGAUUGGAGUCUGCAACUCGACUCCAUGAAGCUGGAUUCGCUAGUAAUCGCGCAUCAGCCAUGGCGCGGUGAAUACGUUCCCGGGCCUUGCACACACCGCCCGUCA